AGCUCCAAUAGCGUAUAUUAAAGUUGUUGCAGUUAAAAAGCUCGUAGUUGGAUCUCAGGUCCCGGCUCGCGGUUCACUUCGCGGUGCUUACUGCCCGUCCGGACCUACCCGCCGGUUUUCCCUUGGUGCUCUUCGUUGAGUGUCUCGGGUGGCCGGAACGUUUACUUUGAAAAAAUUAGAGUGUUCAAAGCAGGCGCUUCGCCUGAAUAAUGGUGCAUGGAAUAAUGGAAUAGGACCUCGGUUCUAUUUUGUUGGUUUUCGGAACUCGAGGUAAUGAUUAAGAGGGACAGACGGGGGCAUUCGUAUUACGGUGUUAGAGGUGAAAUUCUUGGAUCGCCGUAAGACGAACUACUGCGAAAGCAUUUGCCAAGAAUGUUU
rnacentral:rRNA from 1 species